rnacentral:rRNA from 1 species
GACGAACGCUGGCGGCGUGCCUAAUACAUGCAAGUCGAGCGCAGGAAGCCGUCUGAACCCUUCGGGGGGACGACGGUGGAAUGAGCGGCGGACGGGUGAGUAACACGUAAAGAACCUGCCCAUAGGUCUGGGAUAACCACGAGAAAUCGGGGCUAAUACCGGAUAUGUCAUCGGACCGCAUGGUCCGCUGAUGAAAGGCGCUCCGGCGUCGCCCAUGGAUGGCUUUGCGGUGCAUUAGCUAGUUGGUGGGGUAACGGCCCACCAAGGCGACGAUGCAUAGCCGACCUGAGAGGGUGAUCGGCCACACUGGGACUGAGACACGGCCCAGACUCCUACGGGAGGCAGCAGUAGGGAAACUUCCACAAUGGACGAAAGUCUGAUGGAGCAACGCCGCGUGAACGAUGAAGGCUUUCGGGUCGUAAAGUUCUGUUGUAAGGGAAGAACAAGUGCCGCAGGCAAUGGCGGCACCUUGACGGUACCUUGCGAGAAAGCCACGGCUAACUACGUGCCAGCCGCCGCCGUAA